GCCUGGGUGGCUCAGUUGGUUGAGCGUCCGACUUCGACUCGGUUCAUGAUCGCGCAGCUCGUGAGUUCGAGCCCCGCGUUGGGCU
rnacentral:tRNA from 1 species